GGAGAGGUCGCAUAGUGGUUUAGUGCACCGGUCUCGAAAACCGGAGUGGUCUAACGGCCACCGUGGGUUCGAGCUUCUCCC
rnacentral:tRNA from 1 species